GUAGGGAAUAUUGGACAAUGGGGGCAACCCUGAUCCAGCGACGCCGCGUGAGUGAUGAAGGCCUUCGGGUCGUAAAGCUCUGUUGCAGGGGAAGAACACAAUGACGGUACCCUGCUAGAAAGGAUCGGCUAACUUCGUGCCAGCAGCCGCGGUAAGACGAGGGAUCCUAGCGUUGUUCGGAAUUAGUGGGCGUAAAGCGGGUGCAGGUGGCUUGGUAAGUCAGAUGUGAAAGCCUGGGGCUUAACCCCAGAAGUGCAUUUGAUACUGCUGAGCUUGAGUGCUGGAGAGGCUAUUAGAAUUCCUGGUGUAGUGGUGAAAUACGUAGAUAUCAGGAGGAAUACCGGAGGCGAAGGCGGAUAGCUGGCCAGACACUGACACUCAGACCCGAAAGCGUGGGGAUCAAACAGGAUUAGAAACCCCGGUAGUCC
rnacentral:rRNA from 1 species